rnacentral:snoRNA from 1 species
AAUCCAUGAUGAGGGCAUUGAGCUUGGUAGCCUUUGAAUCUCUCCCAGGCUUCACUGAAUCCUUCCAAGCCUUUCUAUUGAAAGCUGCAGAUCUCAUUUCUCAGCUU